UAUGAAGGGUGCAAGCGUUACUCGGAAUUACUGGGCGUAAAGGGUGCGUAGGUGGUUUGUUAAGUCUGCUGUGAAAUCCCCGGGCUCAACCUGGGAAUGGCAGUGGAUACUGGCAAGCUAGAGUGCGGUAGAGGGUAGUGGAAUUCCCGGUGUAGCAGUGAAAUGCGUAGAGAUCGGGAGGAACACCAGUGGCGAAGGCGGCUACCUGGACCAGCACUGACACUGAAGCACGAAAGCGUGGGGAGCAAACAGG
rnacentral:rRNA from 1 species